rnacentral:tRNA from 1 species
UCCCUGGUGGUUCAGCUGGUAAAGAAUCUGCCUGCAAUGCAGGAGACCUGGGUUCGAUCCCUGGCUUGGGAA